GAUCAUGGCUCAGGAUGAACGCUGGCGGCGUGCCUAAUACAUGCAAGUCGAACGCUGGAAAUCUAGCUUGCUAGAUUGAAGGAGUGGCGAACGGGUGAGUAAUACAUAAGCAACCUACCCACGAAGACUGGGAUAAUCUCUGGAAACGGGGACUAAUACCGGAUAGGUAAUCGGAAGGCAUCUUCUGAUUAUUAAAGGUUAAAAACACUGGUGGAUGGGCUUAUGGCGCAUUAGUUAGUUGUG
rnacentral:rRNA from 1 species